GACGAACGCUGGCGGCGUGCUUAACACAUGCAAGUCGAACGGUGAUCCGGGUACUUGUACCUGGUGAUCAGUGGCGAACGGGUGAGUAACACGUGAGUAACCUACCCUCCACUCUGGGAUAACUCCGGGAAACCGGGGCUAAUACCGGAUAUGACGCCAACCCGCAUGGGUAUGGUGUGGAAAGUUUUUCGGUGGAGGAUGGACUCGCGGCCUAUCAGCUUGUUGGUGAGGUAAUGGCUCACCAAGGCGACGACGGGUAGCCGGCCUGAGAGGGCGACCGGCCACACUGGGACUGAGACACGGCCCAGACUCCUACGGGAGGCUG
rnacentral:rRNA from 1 species